rnacentral:rRNA from 1 species
UACGGAGGGUGCAAGCGUUAAUCGGAAUUACUGGGCGUAAAGCGCACGCAGGUGGCUGAGUCAGUCGAUUGUGAAAGCCCUGGGCUUAACCUGGGAAUUGCAGUCGAUACUACUCAGCUAGAGUAUGGGAGAGGGUAGUGGAAUUCCCGGUGUAGCGGUGAAAUGCGUAGAUAUCGGGAGGAACAUCAGUGGCGAAGGCGGCUACCUGGCCCAGCACCGACGUUCAGGCACGAAAGCGUGGGGAGCAAACAGG